CACGUAGUUGGAGCUAGGGAGCUGAGCACCACAGUUAUUGCAAUCACGUUGAACGCGCCACUGUCUGUGGCAGUGGCAUCGUCCGGACUGUGUGUGAGAGAGGAAGACAUCAAACGACAGUAGUGGUAAGGGAAGGUUUAUAAGAUGUUACAGCACGGCUUUCUCAACACUUCAACUGUGGCAGUGCCUUUACAAUGUGUUGGAUUCUUUUUUGGAGCAAUGGCUAUGUGAUUGCGGGUUCCUUUUGAGUGCGUUCCAGAGAGGAAAAGAUUUUAUAUGGCGGUUGGAAACCAACUUUAGGAUGCAUUACUGCCACCAACUGGACUGGAGUGUGAAAACUUGUUCAUCUUUGUAACACCCAAGUGUGUAUGUGUACAUUUAUUUUGCAAUGGCUCCCUCACUAAACGUGGCCGGUUUGGUCAGCAUGUUAGUCCAGCGAUGGACAGAGGCGUAUGAUAAAACCAACGGUACCAAAGCAAAGAUAUUUGUCAGUUUAAAGCCACUCAAUUAUGUGUGGUGAAAUUGCAAGCUUGUUUAAGGUCUUCAUCUUGCUCCUGACCAAUGUCCAAGGGGAGGAACAAUUGACUGUCAGGACUAGUGAGACAAUGCUGCAUCUUCGUCCCCUCUGGAGGCCUUUAUCCUAUGGAGGACACUAUGUCUACAAAUUGAGAUGUCUAUGAAGUUGAAUCAAAUUAUAAUUUUCUUUAACAAUUUUAGACAAUAUUUUUUCGAAAUAUAUAUAUUAGGCUGCAUUGUAUCUUUAAAGGUAUUUCUUCCCAAACAGAUCGUUGUUGUUUUAUUCCUUUGCUAACGUUGGCCUAUAAGGUUGUGUAUUGACGCUGCUGUGCACACCUGUUUAUUAUUCGGGCUGAGCUUGAACAACAAGACAUGAUUGAGGA